CCUAUUUGGGACCCAGUCAUUUAUUACAAUUGUGGGCUUGUCUGGGAGGGCUUUGGUUCCUGAAUUCUGAUUUCAUCCAGGAGAGGUGCUCCACCUUUUGGUGGCUGCUGUUCGAGUCAGGUCAGGACUAAUGGCAUCUUGAACCUGAAUAAAGGUAAGCAAAGGUUUUGAUAUUUUUUUUCAGCUCCCUUGCCAGCUGCAGCACUAUAUUUUGCCCGUAAUUCUGUGUGUGAAGAUCCGAACAAAGACGAUGGAGUCUGCCUGUGGGGACACUCUGUGCUUGGCUGGGAACUGAGGGCAGAAGUAACGCGAGGGCUUGUCUUCAAUCAGGGUGGAAACGCUGUGUGAUUGGCUUGGAAAAUAAAAUUUGUGUGGCUUCCAAAAUGUUAAUGAAAAUAAAAUAAAAUUUUGUGAAAUAUGUU